rnacentral:rRNA from 1 species
UACAGAGGUCCCGAGCGUUGUUCGGAUUUACUGGGCGUAAAGGGCGCGUAGGCGGUCGUGACAAGUCACUUGUGAAAUCUCCGGGCUUAACUCGGAACGGUCAAGUGAUACUGUCGGGCUAGAGUGCGGAAGAGGCGAGUGGAAUUCCUGGUGUAGCGGUGAAAUGCGCAGAUAUCAGGAGGAACACCUAUUGCGAAGGCAGCUCGCUGGGACGUUACUGACGCUGAGACGCGAAAGCGUGGGGAGCAAACAGG